UACGGAAGGCAGCAGUGGGGAAUAUUGCACAAUGGGCGCAAGCCUGAUGCAGCCAUGCCGCGUGUAUGAAGAAGGCCUUCGGGUUGUAAAGUACUUUCAGUCGUGAGGAAGGUGUUAAGGUUAAUAACCUUAGCAAUUGACGUUAGCGACAGAAGAAGCACCGGCUAACUCCGUGCCAGCAGCCGCGGUAAUACGGAGGGUGCGAGCGUUAAUCGGAAUUACUGGGCGUAAAGGGCACGCAGGCGGUUAAUUAAGUUGGAUGUGAAAUCCCCGGGCUUAACCUGGGAAUGGCAUUCAAGACUGGUUAGCUAGAGUCUUGUAGAGGGGGUUAGAAUUCCAUGUGUAGCGGUGAAAUGCGUAGAGAUGUGGAGGAAUACCGGUGGCGAAGGCGGCCCCUGGGACAAAGACUGACGCUCAUGUGCGAAAGCGUGGGGAGCAAACAGGAUUAGAUACC
rnacentral:rRNA from 1 species